GAGGAGCCCAAAGUGCAUGAGCCUGUCAGGAUUGCUUAUGACAGACCUCGGGGCUGCCCUGUGACGAAGAAGAAAAAGAAGCCGAAGGAUCUGGAAUUCUCGCAGAAGAAGCUGAGCCCCAGGAACGUGGGGUUCCAGAUGUUGCAGAGGAUGGGCUGGCAGGAGGGGCACGGGCUGGGCUCCAGGGGCCGGGGCAUCCGCGAGCCCGUG